GUGCUGCCUUUGGCAGCACAUAUACUAAAAUUAGAAUGAUACAGAGAUUAACAUGGCGCUUGCAAAAUAGUGACAUGCAAAUUCAUGAAGAGUUCCAUAUUUAA